rnacentral:rRNA from 1 species
UGGGGAAUAUUGCACAAUGGGCGCAAGCCUGAUGCAGCCAUGCCGCGUGUGUGAAGAAGCCUUCGGGUUGUAAAGCACUUUCAGCGAGGAGGAAGGUGGUGAGCUUAAUACGCUCAUCAAUUGACGUUACUCGCAGAAGAAGCACCGGCUAACUCCGUGCCAGCAGCCGCGGUAAUACGGAGGGUGCAAGCGUUAAUCGGAAUUACUGGGCGUAAAGCGCACGCAGCGGUUUGUUAAGUCAGAUGUGAAAUCCCCGGGCUCAACCUGGGAACUGCAUUUGAAACUGGCAAGCUAGAGUCUCGUAGAGGGGGGUAGAAAUUCCAGGUGUAGCGGUGAAAUGCGUAGAGAUCUGGAGGAAUACCGGUGGCGAAGGCGGCCCCCUGGACGAAGACUGACGCUCAGGUGCGAAAGCGUGGGGAGCAAAACAGGAUUAGAUACCCUGGUAGUCCACGCUGUAAAACGAUGUCGAUUUUGGAGGUUGUGCCCUUGAGGCGUGGCUUCCGGAGCUAACGCGUUAAAUCGACCGCCUGGGGGAGUACGGCCGCAAGG